rnacentral:rRNA from 1 species
GACGCGCGAGGGGAAUAUUGCACAAUGGGCGCAAGCCUGAUGCACCCAUGCCACGUGUAUGAAGAAGGCCUUCGGGUUGUAAAGUACUUUCAGCGGGGAGGAAGGCGGUGAACUUAAUAGCUUCACCGAUUGACGUUACCCGCAGAAGAAGCAACGGCUAACUCCGAGCCAGCAGCCGCGGUAAUACAAUA